rnacentral:rRNA from 1 species
UACGUAGGGGGCGAGCGUUGUCCGGAUUUAUUGGGCGUAAAGAGCGUGUAGGCGGCCAGGUAGGUCUGCUGUGAAAACUCGAGGCUCAACCUCGAGACGUCGGCGGAAACCAUCUGGCUAGAGUCCGGAAGAGGAGAGUGGAAUUCCGAGUGUAGAGGUGAAAUUCGUAGAUAUUCGGAAGAACACCAGUGGCGAAGGCGGCUCACUGGACCGGCAUUGACGCUGAGGUGCGAAAGCGUGGGGAGCAAACAGG